GACAGAGGAGCCAAGCGUUGUCCGGAUUGACUGGGCGUAAAGCGCACGCAGGCGGUCGCGCGCGUGGGGUGUGAAAUCUGGCCGCUUAACGGCCAGGCGCCAUCCCAUACGGCGCGACUGGAGCCAUGCAGAGGGCGGUGGAAUUGCCGGUGUAGUGGUGAAAUGCGUAGAGAUCGGCAGGAACACCCAGGGGGGAAACCAGCCGCCUGGGCAUGCGCUGACGCUGAGGUGCGAGAGCGUGGGGAGCGAACCGG
rnacentral:rRNA from 1 species